UGCCUUACACAUGCAAGUCGGACGGCAGCGCGGGCUUCGGCCUGGCGGCGAGUGGCGAACGGGUGAGUAAUACAUCGGAACAUGUCCAGUAGUGGGGGAUAGCCCGGCGAAAGCCGGAUUAAUACCGCAUACGAUCUGUGGAUGAAAGCGGGGGAUCUUCGGACCUCGCGCUAUUGGGGUGGCCGAUGGCGGAUUAGGUAGUUGGUGGGGUAAAGGCCUACCAAGCCGACGAUCCGUAGCUGGUCUGAGAGGACGACCAGCCACACUGGGACUGAGACACGGCCCAGACUCCUACGGGAGGCAGCAGUGGGGAAUUUUGGACAAUGGGGGCAACCCUGAUCCAGCAAAUGCCGCGUGUGUGAAGAAGGCCUUCGGGUUGUAAAGCUC
rnacentral:rRNA from 1 species